AGUUGAGCUCCAGGGAUUAUCGCGCACAUCGCCAUCAUUCAGAUUUCUGAGUACCUAAGAACGGAGGGUGUUCGUUAUUGCUUCAAUACGGGUAGUGGUGAGAUAACCCCGACGUCCCCAGUACUGGUGUAGAUUGUUCGGGGGUACUACCACACUUUGUACCGUUGUGAUCACGAGGAUCUGUUGUAGACGAAGGUCCGAGAUGCUGGUUGUGUGUUGAAGGAUGUGAUACAGGUGAUGGUU
rnacentral:lncRNA from 1 species